rnacentral:rRNA from 1 species
AUAUUAGUAAUGGGCGAAAGCCUGAACUAGCAACACCGCGUGUGCGAAGAAGGCCUUCGGGUUGUAAAGCACUUUUCGGGAGGAUGAGGAAGGACGGUACUCCCGGCAUAAGUCUCGGCUAACUACGUGCCAGCAGCCGCGGUAAAACGUAGGAGGCAAACGUUAUCCGGAUUUACUGGGCGUAAAGCGCGUGUAGGUGGUUUGGUAAGUAGGGCGUGAAAGCUCCUGGCUCAACUGGGAGAGGUCGUUCUAAACUGCCGAGCUAGAGGAUGGUAGAGGGGGGUAGAAGUCCUGGUGUAGCGGUAGAAUGCGCAGAUAUCCGGAGGAACACCAGUGGCGAAAGCGGCCUCCUGGACCACUCCUGACACUCAGACGCGAAAGCUAGGGUAGCAAACGG